rnacentral:lncRNA from 1 species
UAGCAAUUUUAUCUUUCAUAGAUGCAACUCCUGACCUUAAAAGGGACAAAUUUCUGAUUUGUGAGAAUAAAAAGUAAAAAUCUGCACAUAAACAAUAAUAAGCAGUACGACAAUCUCAGAGCAAAUCCCCUUAUAACACCAGCAAAGAGAGCAGAAGAAACACCAUUCUGGAUAUUUCUGGUCGGGAAAAGAAAAAAAAAAAAGGACUCAAGUUGCUUAGCAUUUGGGCCAAGGCAGGGCCUGGUGUCUGUUUGCCAGGACUCCUCCAAGCAGCUCAGCACCUGCAAGCAGCAGCUCCACAUUGCUACGUCCCAAAAAGCAGUAAACAAAUUCCUAGUCCCUGAUGAAUGGUAGGAGAUGCCCUGAAGACAGAUGUUGGCACUUGCUUUCUGAAUGGAAAUAUGAUUGUCAUUUUCAUACCUACUGUGACAGAGCAGUAAAACAGACUUGAAAACAGAAGCCAAAGAAGAGCUCUUUUUCACCACAUGGUUAGAACAACAAUUAAAAGGCAAAGCAAUCACAAGCAAGGAAUAGCAAAAGCAAACAAGGCUGGGGAUAGCAGCUAGGCAGCACUCAACGCAGCUCUGUUUGGCUAUCAAACACAGAUUUGUUCAGCUUCUUCCAAACGAAGAGGUUUUCAGAGAAACCACACAGAUAUAAGAACUGGGAAAAGUGCUUUAUCCAGUCUGCCUCCCCACCACCUCUUCCACUCAGUCAACUUCAACUUUAGUCAUCAGCGCCAAACACUCCAGUCACUGAAAAUGCUACAAGAAGAUGGUAAUCAAGAGACUUCCAAACAGUUUCAUGUCUAAAAUAAACAACAGCUGGUCAGUUUAUUCACAGAAGAACUAGGAGACAUAUACAGUGUGGCAAAGGAUACUUGAAGCCCAUUUGAAGAAGGGGAUUUAGGACAUCUUACAGCUCAGCAGAAAACAUUUCAAGCCUUUAACCAUAUGGUAAGAACUGAAUCAGUGGUAUGACAACUCUAACUUCACUCCAUAUACUGCAUCUCACAUCUACAAACAGUAUUUCCAAUUACCGGCCCUUUUAAAACUUUCACAGGAGAGAGAUACAAAGAAGCAUAGGCUGCUAAGGUUAGUUGAGUCCCAACAUCUUUGAGAAAAGAGAAAGAUUUGUUACUCUCCUUAAGCAACGGAGAUCUCUGUCCUUGAACCCAAUUAAGGAUUUUGUCAGCGUUCCUGUGAUCCCAACACUAUAGCUAACAGCUAUCAGUGCCACUUUCUUGGCUCACUUACUGCAAGGUGAAAUCUCAUUCUUACAUCAGCAUUAAGUUUCAGUAUUGCUGGCUUUCAUGAAGCUGUACUCUGUUGGCUCAGCUGAAUGAUAAGUGGAGAACAUCAGGAGGAUGCACUCAGGCUACCUAGAGAGAAG